UUGCCUUUCUUUACCUUUUUUAUUUGAAACGGAAAAGGUAAAGAGAGGCAACCCUACAAACACAAUGUGAGGAUUCACGAUUCAUUUGACAAAUUUUAUCCACAAAUGUUUCAAAUCGUUCACUCUGAUACUCCUUUCUCUUGCAUUCAAAGCAAACAACAGUGUAUCGGAGCGUGAUCAAACAUCUCUCACCCAAAAACACACAAUACAGUCAAAAUGAAACAUGCAACCCUGAACUCGAACAAGUGCGUGCGAAACCCUCCGCUCAGUCCACAUACAGUUUAAGGUGAAAAAUAAACAUUUACACACAAAUAUCAUAAUUUCUUAGAUAUCCCUUAUUUAAUACAAAGCAUAUGGCAAAUAAACUAUGCAGAGGUCUAAAUGCGUGCUUCUGUGUGGAUGGAGGAAUUGUUGUGGAUCAUUUCUUUUUAUGAAGGGAGAAAUAUACAUCAAACUAAGAAUCACUUCCAAGUAAUCAUUAGACCCUUCAUUAACAAGUGCAAACUGAAAUCAAUUAAGUUGUUUGCAACUAUUUACACACAAAUACACAAAGGAAACUAGUCCUGUGUGCAUUAGCGCUGAUGAUGCCCACGUGAUGCAGCUCACCAUUCGAGUCUCGGUAUGGAAAAGCUCUACAAAUUUCAGCCAAAAAAAAAUAAAAAAUACAAACUAUUC